GUGAAUCAUCGAAUCUUUGAACGCACCUUGCGCUCCUUGGUAUUCCGAGGAGCAUGCCUGUUUGAGUGUCUUGAAGUCAUCAACCCCUCCCGUUUCCUUUGCGGGUAGGGUUGGAUGUGGGGGCUCUGCCGCCGUGAAAGGCGGCUCCCCUCAAAUGCAUCGGUUGGGCCUCUGGGUCAAACUCGACUUGGGCGUUGUACCAUCCUCGCUCCACCGAGUGGCUCCCCGUCUGCGCCCUUCCCCGACCUUGCCUCUCGGAGUGGCGGUCAAAAGCAACUUUGAAAUCUGACCUCAAAUCAGGUAGGACUACCCGCUGAACUUAAGCAUAUCAAUAAGCGGAGGA
rnacentral:misc_RNA from 1 species